rnacentral:rRNA from 1 species
GCGCGAAAACUUUACAAUGCUGGCAACAGCGAUAAGGGAACCUCGAGUGCCAGGUUACAAAUCUGGCUGUCGAGAUGCCUAAAAAGCAUUUCAUAGCAAGGGCCGGGCAAGACCGGUGCCAGCCGCCGCGGUAACUCCGGCGGCUCGAGUGGUAACCGUUAUUAUUGGGUCUAAGGGGUCUGUAGCCGGCCGGAUAAGUCUCUUGAGAAAUCUGGCAGCUUAACUGUCAGGCUUUCAGGAGAUACUGUCUGGCUCGAGGCCGGGAGAGGUGAGAGGUACUUCAGGGGUAGGGGUGAAAUCUUGUAAUCCUUGAAGGACCACCAGUGGCGAAGGCGUCUCACCAGAACGGACCUGACGGCAAGGGACGAAAGCUAGGGGCACGAACCG